UAGACUUGGGGACACUGGGAGACAUGGGGACACUGGGAGACAUAGGGACACUGGGGAACAUGGGGACCCUGAGACACUAGGGACACAGUGGCUCCAUGUCUCCCAGUGUCCCCAUGUCUCCCAGUGUCCCUGAUGUCUCUCAGUGUCCCCAGGUCUCUGUGUCCCCAUGUGUCU